GGGGAUGAUCGGUUUCGACAUUGCCUGCGAAACGACGAGAAGCGGGUCGAGGAUGCGGGGUUAUCUCGUUAACGCCCUCCGCAAACUAUAAGUGCCAAUUCAAACAGCACUGUUGCGGCCAAGAAGGCCACCUUCGCCCUCGCGGCCUAGGUCUUCCUUCCUAGCUAAUUAGCAACUGUCGGUCCGGGAAUGCUCUCUACCCGGGUUCCGGCAUUAUCUAGAGAGAUUGCUGCGUGAUCGUGUCUCAGGGUCACGCGGGACUCUUACUGUGACUGGGCUCGUCGACCUAGAUGCCUGUGGCAAAGGUCGGAGCCGAGAAAACGUCUGCACAGGCUACGCCCGUAGAAGGCGUCGAAUCACAGCAGUGGACGGGGGUUCAAUUCCCCCCAUCUCCACCA
rnacentral:tmRNA from 1 species